rnacentral:rRNA from 1 species
UACGUAGGGUGCAAGCGUUGUCCGGAAUUAUUGGGCGUAAAGAGCUCGUAGGCGGUCUGUCGCGUCGGCUGUGAAAACUCGGGGCUCAACUCCGAGCUUGCAGUCGAUACGGGCAGGCUAGAGUUCGGCAGGGGAGACUGGAAUUCCUGGUGUAGCGGUGAAAUGCGCAGAUAUCAGGAGGAACACCGGUGGCGAAGGCGGGUCUCUGGGCCGAUACUGACGUGAGGAGCGAAAGCGUGGGGAGCGAACAGG